rnacentral:lncRNA from 10 species
CCUGAAAGGCCAGUUUCACUCCCACCAUGCCCCCAGCCCCACCCAAAAGCACUGAGUUUAUUUCUAGGCAGCUGAUGAGCAGGACCGAGAACUUGCCCCAGGCUACAAGCCUCCCAGCUGAGAAAGCAAGGGGACUCACAGUUCCUUGGCUGCCCAUGGAGCCUGCAGUGGCAAUCAACUGUCUUCAACGCAUCUGUGGAUUCUCUCAGCUUUCCUGGAGGAAGAGCAGAAUAUCUAUUUUUAAUCGCUGUUGAAAGAACUAACCAAGAUAACUCACAGAAUAUGUC